GACGAACGCUGGCGGCGUGCUUAACACAUGCAAGUCGAACGGAAAGGCCCUGCUUUUGUGGGGUGCUCGAGUGGCGAACGGGUGAGUAACACGUGAGUAACCUGCCCUUGACUUUGGGAUAACUUCAGGAAACUGGGGCUAAUACCGGAUAGGAGCUCCUGCUGCAUGGUGGGGGUUGGAAAGUUUCGGCGGUUGGGGAUGGACUCGCGGCUUAUCAGCUUGUUGGUGGGGUAGUGGCUUACCAAGGCUUUGACGGGUAGCCGGCCUGAGAGGGUGACCGGCAACAUUGGGACUGAGAUACGGCCCAGACUGCUACGGGAGGCAGCAGUGGGGAAUAUUGCACAAUGGGCGGAAGCCUGAUGCAGCAACGCAGCGUGCGGGAUGACGGCCUUCGGGUUGUAAACCGCUUUCGCCUGUGACGAAGCGUGAGUGACGGUAAUGGGUAAAGAAGCACCGGCUAACUACGUG
rnacentral:rRNA from 1 species